rnacentral:lncRNA from 1 species
GAAGCAGCCUAGCCCAGACUUCCACCUUGGACUUCAGCCUUUAGAAUUGAGAACCUCUAGGGAUAAAGGUAUAAAGGUUUUGUAGAAACAGCUGGAAGUUUUCUGGUUUCCAGAAGUUUUGCCAGAAGCUGAGGAUGAAGUGACCUGGGCAAAGGAUGAUACUUCUGGAGAGGAGGAAAAUUGAAAUCCUGACAGUGGACACUGCCACUGGAAUUCUUAUAUUGUGUCACUGCAACUGGAAUUCUGACACUGGGACACCGCCACUGGAAUCCUUAUACUGGGACACUGCCACUGGUAUCCUGACAAGGGGACACUGUCAC